rnacentral:rRNA from 1 species
GAUGAACGCUGGCGGCGUGCCUAACACAUGCAAGUCGAGCGAGGGUUUGCUCAGUAUUGAGUAUUCUAAAACUAGAAUGUUCAAUUCUGAGCAAAACCAAGCGGCGGACGGGUGAGUAACGCGUGGGUAACCUGCCCUAUACACAUGGAUAACAUACUGAAAAGUUUACUAAUACAUGAUAAUAUAUAUUUGCGGCAUCGCAGAUAUAUCAAAGUGUUAGCGGUAUAGGAUGGACCCGCGUCUGAUUAGCUAGUUGGUGAGAUAACUGCCCACCAAGGCGACGAUCAGUAGCCGACCUGAGAGGGUGAUCGGCCACAUUGGAACUGAGACACGGUCCAAACUCCUACGGGAGGCAGCAGUGGGGAAUAUUGCACAAUGGGCGAAAGCCUGAUGCAGCAACGCCGCGUGAACGAUGAAGGUCUUCGGAUCGUAAAGUUCUGUUGCAGGGGAAGAUAAUGACGGUACCCU